GCCGGAUGCUCCGACAUGACGCAUGUCGUGUCGGGAAAGAUUCAUCGGUAUGGGAUGGGGUCGCGUCCUAUCAGCUUGAUGGCGGGGUAACGGCCCACCAUGGCUUCGACGGGUAGCCGGCCUGAGAGGGCGACCGGCCACAUUGGGACUGAGAUACGGCCCAGACUCCUACGGGAGGCAGCAGUGGGGAAUAUUGCACAAUGGGCGCAAGCCUGAUGCAGCGACGCCGCGUGCGGGAUGACGGCCUUCGGGUUGUAAACCGCUUUUGACUGGGAGCAAGCCCUUCGGGGUGAGUGUACCUUUCGAAUAAGCACCGGCUAACUACGUGCCAGCAGCCGCGGUAAUACGUAGGGUGCAAGCGUUAUCCGGAAUUAUUGGGCGUAAAGGGCUCGUAGGCGGUUCGUCGCGUCCGGUGUGAAAGUCCAUCGCUUAACGGUGGAUCCGCGCCGGGUACGGGCGGGCUUGAGUGCGGUAGGGGAGACUGGAAUUCCCGGUGUAACGGUGGAAUGUGUAGAUAUCGG
rnacentral:rRNA from 1 species